rnacentral:rRNA from 1 species
CCCUGCCAUUUGUACACACCGCCCGUCGCUCCUACCGAUUGGAUGCUCAGGUGAAAUCUUCGGAUUGGCCGGUGAGCGGGUUCUCUCGCUUGCCGGCCGAGAAGUUGAUUAAACCUUAUCAUCUAGAGGAAGGAGAAGUCGUAACAAGGUUUC